rnacentral:rRNA from 1 species
UACGGAGGGUGCGGGCGUUGUCCGGAAUCACUGGGCGUAAAGGGCGCGUAGGUGGCCUGUGGAAGUCUGCGGUGAAAGCCCGGCGCUCAACGCCGGGUCGGCCGUGGAUACUCUCGGGCUUGAGCUUACUAGAGGCAGAUGGAAUUCCGGGUGUAGCGGUGGAAUGCGUAGAGAUCCGGAGGAACACCAGUAGCGAAGGCGGCUUUCUGGACUGUAACUGACACUGAGGCACGAAAGCGUGGGGAGCGAACAGG